CCCGUGAGGCGUUGCUUCCGGAGCUCAUGAGUUAAAUCGACCGCGUGGGGAGUACGGCCGCAAGGUUAAAACUCAAAUGAAUUGACGGGGGCCCGCACAAGCGGUGGAGCAUGUGGUUUAAUUCGAUGCAACGCGAAGAACCUUACCUGGUCUUGACAUCCACAGAACUUAGCAGAGAUGCUUUGGUGCCUUCGGGAACUGUGAGACAGGUGCUGCAUGGCUGUCGUCAGCUCGUGUUGUGAAAUGUUGGGUUAAGUCCCGCAACGAGCGCAACCCUUAUCCUUUGUUGCCAGCGGUCAGGCCGGGAACUCAAAGGAGACUGCCAGUGAUAAACUGGAGGAAGGUGGGGAUGACGUCAAGUCAUCAUGGCCCUUACGACCAGGGCUACACACGUGCUACAAUGGCAUAUACAAAGAGAAGCGACCUCGCGAGAGCAAGCGGACCUCAUAAAGUAUGUCGUAGUCCGGAUUGGAGUCUGCAACUCGACUCCAUGAAGUCGGAAUCGCUAGUAAUCGUAGAUCAGAAUGCUACGGUGAAUACGUUCCCGGGCCUUGUACACACCGCCCGUCACACCAUGGGAGUGGGUUGCAAAAGAAGUAGGUAGCUUAACCUUCGGGAGGGCGCUACCACCUGUUA
rnacentral:rRNA from 1 species